rnacentral:lncRNA from 1 species
CGCGCAGGGCCGCAGAGCCGCAGGACUAACCUGGCUUGCGCCCUGCAGCCCCGGGCUCGCCCGGCGGCCCCGCCCCCUCCCCUGCCGGGGCUUUUCCUGCGGAGCUCAGGAAGCCGGCCUAGCACAGCCUCGGGACUUGGGCUCCGCUCCCAGGGAGGCCGGCGCGGGGCCGCUGGGACAGGGGUUGUCGGCGCCGCUGGGGGCCCGCAGCCAGCCCUCGGCCCGGGCCGGAGCUUCAGUUCAGCCCUGCCGCCCAGCGCCUGCCCUCGAAGCCCCGCGGCCGCCCGCGCCCUCCUCCCAUCAGUGGCCUAGCAGCCCUCGGCCCAAGGCUUCUCCGGCCCCUGGCUGCCCGCGGACGCCCUCCCACAGUCAUGAACCCCCAUGAGUGAGCAGCGGAGGAAGGAGGAGCGGCCGACUCGGACGUGGACGGCUUUUUUCGGACAGGUUGGCACGGAAAUCCAUCUGCUCGGCUGGGAUCUCCUUCAGGUCGUCUUCCGAGAGGGUCUUGGUACUCACCUUCUUCCCCAGGAGGUCCCGGAAGUCCAGCUGCUCCACCUCCUGCUGGCGGAUCGCCUCCUCAGUGUGCUGCCUCGUCUCCACACGCCUCUUCAGCACCCCUCGCACGUCCUCGCCGUCUUCCUCCUCUGGCCAACCCUGCCCUCUUGCUGGCCAGCCAGGCCUCAGGGUCCCAUAGCGGUCACUACCACCACCAUCAGCACCAACUCCUCCACCACAGAGGCCCUCACAGCUGGCAGGCUCCCUCCCCCUGCAACCAGUGAAGGGAGAAAGGAAAGUAGCAGGAGGAAAAGGGGCUGGCUCUUAUUUAAAAAGAAGAUGAAAAACAGAAUCUCUGAACAACAGCUAAGGCAGGCAUCCAGGAGUAGGAAUACUUUUCUCUCCUCCAACUCCCAGACUGUGUGGUUCUGCACAACAGUGAAGAAAAUAUUGAGGAACCGAAACAAGCUGAGGCAGGUAAGUCCCACCCCCUCCUCCACUCAGAUGCCGGAGGCCUGACACCAGUUAGGCUGGUGUACCUGCAGCAUUCUGCCCUGGGUUUGCCUUUGAUCCCACCCCUGCAGUCUAGCCACCAGGAAACAAAAAAUCUCCUCUCUGGGUUUUCUAAGCCUUACCUUUUGGUUCAGGGCAGAUCAGAACCCAGGAAACCCUGAACUCCAGAUAGGCAUCUGAAGGGAGAGGUGUCUCCACUCUGCCUCCAGCUCAGGUCCUCAGAACUACGCUUUGCCCUCACCUCACCUGACUGGUGCAGCACAUCCAGCCUCGUGCUCCUUGUUUUCUGGACAGUUUCCUUUUGUUGUGUUUGAUUUCCUUCUCUCAAGUAGUCAUUCAGUUUCCACAGUGAAUCCUGACUGGCACGCUAGAGUAUACACAGGCCUGAACACAUACUUGAAAGGUUGUGCCUCUCUUGCCUCCUGUUCCAGCUUCCUACCAUCCAAACUACACAAAUCAGCAAGUACCUCUUCCAAAUUUGUUUUUUUAGUGAACAGGGUCUCACUCUGUUGCCCAAGCUACAGUGCAGUGGUACAGUCAUAGCUCACUGCAGCCUCCUACUCCUGGGCUCAAGUGAUCCUCCCACCUCAGCCUCCCAAAUAGUUGGGACUACAGGUGCAUGCCACUACACCCAGCUAAUUAUUAAACUUUUUGUCGAGAUGGGAUCUCACUAUGUUGCCCAGGCUGGUCCUGAACUCCUGGGCUCAAGUGAUGCUCUUGACCCAAAGCGCUGGGA